rnacentral:rRNA from 1 species
CCUGCCGGCGACCGGCGCACGGGUGAGUAACACGUAUGCGACCUGCCCCCCGCAGGGGGAUAACCGGGAGAAAUCCCGACUAAUACCGCGUAACGCCGCGGACCUGCAUGGGUCUGCGGCCAAAGGAAGCGAUUCCGGCGGGGGAUGGGCAUGCGGCGCAUUAGCUAGUCGGCGGGGUAACGGCCCACCGAGGCGACGAUGCGUAGGGGUUCUGAGAGGAAGGUCCCCCACACUGGUACUGAGACACGGACCAGACUCUUACGGAAGGCAGCAG